rnacentral:rRNA from 1 species
UAAUGGCAGGUCAGCAUACUGCCGUGAAUACGUUCCCGGGCCUUGUACACACCGCCCGUCACACCAUGAGAGUUGGGAAUACCCGAAGCCGGCGGCCUAACCGAAAGGGGGGAGCCGUCGAAGGCAGGCCCGGUGACUGGGGUGGAAGUCGUAACAAGGUAUC